ACGUCAAGUGGCAGCGCAAUCCAAAGGGGACGGCGCCCUCCUGCUCCGCUCGUCUCACCUCUCUGACAGCGGCGGCGGAUGUGCAAGCUCGGGCGGUGGCCGGCUGAAAGGCAGGCAGCAGGCUUGGCCUCCAUCUCUCAAUUCUCUGAAUUUUCAGUUUUUGCAGCCUAUCCACAGAAGCAGAUAACGUACUCUCGAUUUUACUUCAGGCUACUAUUUAGUUGUACUUUCCGAAGUGCUUUGGUUUUGUUUAGUGUUUGUUAAUCAUUUCUCUGCUCAGCUUUAACACGGGCAUUGAUGAAACGGAAACAUCAGAUCUAUAUAGGUGUUCUUAUGGUACUCAAUUAAUAUGGUGUAAGAUCUUGUGUUUCCCGUAUACUACUGCUAAAAGGUGCUCUAGACGUAAUUUUCAAGAUUUGGGGUUUCAAAGGUAAGGCGUCACUUAUUUUCAAACAUCCAAAAUUCAAAAUACGAAGAUUUACUAACGGGCUCAUAGUAGGUUUCAGCAUCAUUCGAUCUCAAUUUUUGUCAUGCUCGGAUUCUUAAAACUCCUGAUAAAGCAUAGAUUCUCAAUUUUCGGGUGAGCUUAUUGUAUACAUGAUCUAUCUUUAUGUUUGGUUGAUCGAGUUGCUAACUUACACACAUGUUGGUCCAAUGGGCUUUAACUAUCUUUAACAACUCAUUUCCUUUUCGCCUUUAGUUGGUAUAAUAGCAAUAUAUAGUUGCUUAAAUACUGCAUUACUGGAGAAGAGCACCGACAUUAUAUAAACUAUGUUAGUAGGUUUCAGCAUCAUAGUGGGGAGGAAAUGCAGGCUGUUAGAGCAUGCAAGGAGUAAAUGUAGUUUCUUGAUUCUUCCCUUGAUUCUAAACGUCUGAAGGGCAUCACAACAACAGAUCCUUAACUAAGCUAACAAAUUCAUCUCCCAAUUUCCCCCCUAAUUAAUUUCUUUACAGAUGGCCACAUCUGACCCUAAGUUUUGAUUCCGUUCAAUUAUAUUUUUAAUUGGAGCGAUGCCAUAUAUAUUGUGAUGUUUUAUGUCAUACGAAAAUUGCUAUUAGAUAUCUUUUCCUCAAAAAAAAAUUGCUAUUAGAUAUGAGCCUCAUGAUUAUUUGAACUUCUUUUGUCUUGGCGAUAUGAGAUGACAGCCCUAGCACAGCCUUAGUGCAAAAUCUCUUGUUUUCCUUUCAAGUUUUAGCAUAUUAUGAUGGGGACACCUUCCAGUUUUGUUUUGUUUUGGUAAUUAUAUUAGGGCGGAAAUAAUGCCAGGUCAAAAGGAGGUCAAGCAAGUGAAAAUAUAUGGGGCUUUUAUAAAUACUGUUCUUUUUUCCAGUUUUAUUGGCACACCAAAUUAAGUUUCUAUUUUUAAGUUGUACAUAUCAUGGAGUGAAUGUAUUAUCUAAGUGGUUCCGGUUAUUUGCAAGAGUAUGAUCAAAGUAAUUAUGUUAGCUCGACAAUCGACUUCUUUAAAGAGCAUGCGAGAUUUUGACUGAUAAUCAUCUUAGAUGAAGUUGUCAGAAUGGAAGAAGAUGGGCAGAAAUCGCUCCAGCAUUUACGUGAUAUGAGCAAAAAAUAGAUGAGUUGUCAAUGAUUUAUGUUCCGUAGUAACGCACGGGUACCUAACUAUUAAUGAUAAUAUUUCUCCGGCUGAAUGGAAAAGAUGAAUGAGAUGGACGAUUUGGUGGA